CUAAAAAUAACCAACUUGUCUUGGUGAUAACUGUCUCCUCAAAUUUUGAGCCUCGGCGAUUUCGGAGUGCAUCACCAUUAUUUACAUCCAGCUGUACUGUUUUCCGGUCGGAUGCAGUUUUGUGUGCUUCUUAGGAAGGCCGAUAAAGAUUGGACUUAGGAACUGUCUGCAAAGCAGCUUCUGUGAUUCUGCAGAAGUUCAUUGAGCCUGCUGUAGGGCAAGAGACACUUAAUCCUUCACGUGAUGAAGCACCGGGUUUGGAGGAUAAUGCAAUGCCUGCAUUUGGCAAU